rnacentral:rRNA from 1 species
AACGAACGCUGGCGGCAUGCCUAACACAUGCAAGUCGAACGCCCCGCAAGGGGAGUGGCGAACGGGUGAGUAACGCGUGGGAACCUACCCAGCAGUUGGGGAUAACCGCGGGAAACUGCGGCUAAUACCGAAUACGUCCUUUGGGAGAAAGAUUUAUCGCUGUUGGAGGGGCCCGCGUCGGAUUAGCUAGUUGGUGAGGUAACGGCUCACCAAGGCGACGAUCCGUAGCUGGUCUGAGAGGAUGAUCAGCCACACUGGGACUUAGACACGGCCCAGACUCCUACGGGAGGCAGCAGUGGGGAAUAUUGAACAAUGGGGGCAACCCUGAUCCAGCAAUGCCGCGUGAGUGAUGAAGGCCUUAGGGUUGUAAAGCUCUUUUACCGGGGACGAUGAUGACGGUACCCGGAGAAUAAGCCCCGGCUAACUUCGUGCCAGCCGCCGCGGUAAAAC